UACGCGAUCUUCGGAUCUAGUGGCAGACGGGUGAGUAACGCGUGGGAAUCUACCUGGUACUUCGGAAUAACUGAGGGAAACUUCAGCUAAUACCGGAUACGCCCUUUUGGGGAAAGAUUUAUCGGUAUCAGAUGAGCCCGCGUAAGAUUAGCUAGUUGGUGAGGUAAUGGCUCACCAAGGCGACGAUCUUUAGCUGGUCUGAGAGGAUGAUCAGCCACACUGGGACUGAGACACGGCCCAGACUCCUACGGGAGGCAGCAGUGGGGAAUAUUGGACAAUGGGGGCAACCCUGAUCCAGCCAUGCCGCGUGAGUGAUGAAGGCCUUAGGGUUGUAAAGCUCUUUCACCGGUGAAGAUAAUGACGGUAACCGGAGAAGAAGCCCCGGCUAACUUCGUGCCAGCAGCCGCGGUAAUACGAAGGGGGCUAGCGUUGUUCGGAAUUACUGGGCGUAAAGCGCACGUAGGCGGACC
rnacentral:rRNA from 1 species